AUUAUUAUUAUUCUGUUUUUAUUAUUUUUAAAUUCUUUUUUUAAAAAAAAAAA
rnacentral:ribozyme from 1 species